AAACUAACAAGGAUUCCCCUAGUAACGGCGAGUGAAGCGGGAAGAGCUCAAAUUUGAAAUCUGGUGGCCUCAGGUCAUCCGAGUUGUAAUCUAUAGAAGUGUUUUCCGUGCUGGCUCAUGUACAAGUCCCUUGGAACAGGGCGUCAUAGAGGGUGAGAAUCCCGUCCUUGACAUGAACUACCAGUGCUCUGUGAUACAUUUUCAACGAGUCGAGUUGUUUGGGAAUGCAGCUCAAAAUGGGUGGUAAAUUCCAUCUAAAGCUAAAUAUUGGCGAGAGACCGAUAGCGAACAAGUACCGUGAGGGAAAGAUGAAAAGCACUUUGGAAAGAGAGUUAAACAGUAUGUGAAAUUGUUAAAAGGGAAACGAUUGAAGUCAGUCGUGCUCUUUGGAUUCAGCCGGUUCUGCCGGUGUACUUCCUUUGAGUGGGGUCAACAUCAGUUUUGAUCGCUGGAUAAAGGCUGGAGGAACGUAGCACCCCCGGGUGAACUUAUAGCCUCCUGUCACAUACAGUGGUUGGGACUGAGGAACGCAGCACGCCUUUAUGGCCAGGAUCCGUCCAUGUACGUGCUUAGGAUGUUGACAUAAUGGCUUUAAACGAC
rnacentral:rRNA from 1 species